CCUACGGGAGGCAGCAGUGAGGAAUAUUGGUCAAUGGACGAGAGUCUGAACCAGCCAAGUAGCGUGAAGGAUGACUGCCCUAUGGGUUGUAAACUUCUUUUAUAAAGGAAUAAAACGAGGCACGUGUGCCUUUUUGCAUUUACUUUAUGAAUAAGGAUCGGCUAACUCCGUGCCAGCAGCCGCGGUAAUACGGAGGAUCCGAGCGUUAUCCGGAUUUGUUGGGUUUAAAGGGAGCGUAGAUGGGUUGUUAAGUCAGUUGUGAAAGUUUGCGGCUCAACCGUAAAAUUGCAAUUGAUACUGGCAGUCUUGAGUACAGUUGAGGUAGGCGGAAUUCGUGGUGUAGCGGUGAAAUGCUUAGAUAUCACGAAGAACCCCGAUUGCGAAGGCAGCUUACUAAACUGUGACUGACAUUGAUGCUCGAAAGUGUGGGUAUCAAACAGGAUUAGAUACCCCUGUAGUC
rnacentral:rRNA from 1 species